AAAUGACUGCAGCUAUUUCAUCUUUUCUCCCUUAAUGUUGUUUCUUGAGAGAAAAUGAUGGAAGUGGAGACAAAAAGCAGAAGGCUACAAUUGGAGGAUGAAUAUAUGAGCAUUUUGUGAAUGAAUCAAGUUGAUCACACAUUCCAACCAGUUACCUGCCUUUUUUUCCAAGAAUGGCUAUUCACACUAUUCCUCUCCAGAACCUGUCAUUAUUCUAUGCUCCCCAUCCUCAGUCCCCUCCUUCACUUCUAUUUUGUUUUCCCUCAAUAUUUGUUGUGCUUUGCAAAUGUGCCAGGUAUUUAGGUGAUUCUCAGAGAUCUCAUGGGCCCUGAAAUCAAUUCAGUUGGUUUCUAUACUACAACCUUAUGAUCAGUUUUACAUUCUUCUAAUCUAGUGGUGUGGUGCUCACCUCACCACACCUUGUGACUAUUAAUCCCAUAAUUUAUUUGUGUAAGGGUCAUCUAUUAGUUCUUUGUCUCCAACCUAUUUACCAUGGCCAUACCAAGAGUUUGCUAAUUCUGUCUGUGCUUCCCAACAAACAGAUCCUUUAUAUCCUAUCGUUGCUAUCAAAACCCAAUACAUGCAUGAAAGAAAAUGGUAGCGUAAACUCAUAUUCCAAACAAGAGCCUUUGAUUAUUGGACACAGUCUGAAUGGACCACCCUGCUAAUCUAUUUCAGUUAUCAGAGUGCCUCAGAUGACUACGAUUGUCAAAUCAGGGCUGCAAAAGUCCAGACGACCCCUUGCUGGCAGCAGAGAAAUAGAGCUGCUGCAUCCUGUAUCACCACCUGAAAGCCUUGGCAGAUGGGGGUGGGAUCUAAUCUUGGGCAAAGCCCUGCACUUGCUGUGCUGUGUCUUUAAAAUGUGUCACAAGACGCCUUUAAAAUGUGGCUUCUCUCGCAUCCCCCGCGUUCAGCGUCGUCCACGAGCAGCACUGGGAGCUCCAGCACUGCCGUGACCUGGGAAGGUGAAGGCGGACGGGAAGCUCCGCACGGGGGCGUUUCGGCGUGAGAGUUCUGUUUUUCCCAAGUGGGACGUGGGCACCCGCAGCAGCGCCUCUGCCGUAGAUGCCGCACGUCGGCGGCUGACUGGUCACGCUGGCGGCGGCGGAGGCGGCAGCAGCAGCAGCAGCAAACCGACGGGGAGGGGGGGAAUCGCCGUUCCUGCCCUCCCCUCCCCCUCCUCGUGUGUCCUCCGAGGCAGCCGCCUUCUUGCUCGAGCCACUCCCUCCCGCUGCAGGGCGGAGUGUGAGGGUGCCUUUAAAUUGGGUGCGAGGGAGCUGCUGCCUGCUCAGUCUCAUCUGUGAUGUAAGGAGAGAUUUUAGGUGUCUAAGCCGAUCGCCUGACUUCGCCUGUUAUUUUCUGCCGGGCACCCUUUCUCUCCGCCACUCCGCCGCUGGGUAAAUGUGCCCUUAAACCACUUCCGCCGCCGAGCAGCCCUUGGCCCGGACCUCGUCUCUGUCCCUCUGCCCAGCUUGACCUGCUGGUGCGCGCUCCGCUCCUUGCUCUCCCGGGUGCGCAGGCAUGGAAGAGGAGGAGGAGUGCAGGGUGCUCUCCAUCCAGAGCCAUGUCGUCCGGGGCUACGUGGGCAACAAGGCGGCGACUUUCCCCCUACAGGUGUUGGGCUUUGAAAUAGAUACUGUGAACUCUGUCCAGUUUUCAAAUCAUACAGGUUAUGAUCAUUGGAAGGGACAGGUAUUAAAUUCAAAUGAACUUCAUGAACUGUAUGAAGGACUGAAACUGAACAAUGUGAAUCAUUACGACUAUGUACUUACUGGCUAUACCCGAGAUAAAUCAUUCCUUGCAAUGGUGGUUGAUAUUGUUCAAGAGCUGAAGCAACAAAACUCCAAUGUGGUCUAUGUGUGUGAUCCUGUGAUGGGUGACAAAUGGAGCGGGGAAGGCUAUAUGUAUGUUCCAGAGGACCUCUUUCCAGUGUAUAAAGAUAAUGUGGUACCUGUAGCAGAUAUAAUAACACCAAAUCAGUUUGAAGCUGAGUUACUUACUGGCAGGAAGAUACAUACUGAAAAAGAAGCAAUAGAGGUAAUGGAUGUGCUCCACAAUAUGGGACCAGAAACGGUUGUAAUCACCAGCUCAGACCUUCAGGCACCUUCAGGAAACGAUUAUCUGAUUGCGUUAGGAAGCCAAAGGAGAACUACAGCAGAUGGCACUAUAGUGACACAAAGGAUCCGAAUAGAAUCUCCCAAAGUAGAUGCUGUCUUUGUUGGAACAGGAGACCUAUUUGCUGCUAUGCUCUUGGCUUGGACUCACAAACACCCAGACAAUUUUAAGAUGGCCUGUGAAAAGACAGUAUCAGCAAUGCAACAUGUUUUGCAAAGGACCAUCAAGAGUGCAAAGGCCCAAGCUGGAGAAGGAAACAAACCUAAUUCAGCCCAGCUGGAACUGAGGAUGGUCCAAAGCAAAAAGGACAUAGAAAAUCCAGAGAUAAUAAUAACUGCUACUGUGUUAUAAAGGUUGUGUAUCUCCUAACAACGCACAAUGUAUUGAUGUCCUCAUUUUCUUUCCUGUAAAUUGUGAUGUUUGCCUUAGAUCUGUGACAGAAACCUGACUUCCAUGAAAUAGUGCCCAGCAUAGAUGAGAUCCACUACCAAGCACAUGUGCUGGCCUUGCUUGAAUUAAGAAGAGAAAAAAGUUAGAAUAAUCACCAAGCCAGUACAACUGUAACCUUAGCCAGGCAUCCAGCUAGUCUGGAGAACAGCAAAAUAUUCCUUUUGGAGGAAAGAAAAGAUCCCUUCAAAUUCAACCUUCAUCUUCAUUUUAUAAUAACUUUUAAAUAUUACUUUAAAAUGAUGUAUUUUAAUACUAAAUAUUAUUUCUGUGUUUUUAAUUCUGUGCUGGCUAAUUUUAAUCAUUCCCCUAAUUUUGAGGAAAAUUGAGCAAACACUGUUGCUCUUGCUAGUAUAGACAUUGAUUCUGAUGUUUGAGACUCAACAGGAAGUCACUAAAGAAAAGGAAAUAUAAAAGUUCAGUAUGCUAUCACAGAUCAUUGGUAGUUGCUGAGAUUUUUAAUUGCUUUACAUUAUCUAUACAGUAAAUCUACAUAUUGCAUAGAACAGUGAUUCGGUUUUCCUAUGACUGUUUUUUCUUUUAGCAACCAGUUCCAAAUACUUUUGGAAUCAAAAGUACACAAAGCUACUAACAAAUACUUCAUAUAUUGGCAUAUUCAUUUAAAGGAAAGAAUAUUUCAUAGAGUAGUUGUUGUUUUUUUAUUUGCAUUUAUAUCCCGCCCUUCUCCGAAGACUCAGGGCGGCUUACACUAUGUUAAGCAAUAGUUGUCCUACUUACAGGCCCAUCCAUGUCAUUUUUAUUCUCAACUGAGUUUCAGUAUAUACACUAUAGAUGACUGUUCCCCAAGUAUACAUGUCAGGCACCAGCACUAUCUUCACACAUCUGCUUUUAUCUGGAAUGAGAUUUAAGGAAAGAAGAUGCAUAUCCAAUCAUCUCUCUGUGUCCAAAAAUCCAAAGAGCAGUGAAAUGGAUCAGAAGAGAGACAAGGAUUUACUAUAGCCAUAGGUAGGUUUGCAUAACACACAGGCAUCAAAAUUUCUAAAUAAAGCCUGCAGAAUGCUACUUUUUUUUAAUGCUGUGCUCUCACAUGGAAUCCUACCAUUCUUUUGUGGGAACUCAGGAUGAGAUAAUUGUAUGCCAUUUUGGCAUUACAAAAAUGCAGUUAUGUGCUUGGCACUUUCACAAUUGUGUGAGAUUGUAUAAUGAUAUCCACCAUUUUUAAAGGUUACCAGCCCCUGUCAUAAACCAUAGCAAAUUCACGGGCUGAAUAAUACAAACAAUAAAAUGGUUUCUUGGCUUGGCUUUAGCCAUUAUCCUAAAGUGUGAACCGAAUUAUGUUUUUCAGCAUCAGCAAUUUAAGAUACUUUAAUGCAAGAAACUAGACUCAUUCUUUCUCUCUCUCUCUACACACACACACACACACACACACACACACACACGGAAAGACAUAUGGUUACAAAGCCUAGCUGGAUAAGAAACAUGCUGAAACUAAAGAAGUUAAAUAGUGUGUAUUUUAAUAUUGGCAGAAGUAUAACCAUGUUGACAUAUAACACUAAAUUGAAUAACUACUAUUACUGUACUUUUUAGUAGUUGUUUUAACAAAAAUGAAUGAUGGUGAUAAUUUCUUGCUUAUAUGUAUCCCACUUUUAGCAAGGACAAUUUCAGUAUAUCUGUGAAACUAAUUUUUAUUAAUAUGGUUUGAAUUGUUUGUGAUUCAGAAGAAGCUAAUUAUGUUCUUAAAAAAUGUGUAACUGAAUUUUAACAUGCUUAGAUUUUAAACAAAAUAGCUUCAGAAGACAACAAUGUUGUGCACAGAAAUCAAUAGCAGGGAAAUAGUUAAGCAAUUAAUUAUCUUCCUGAAGUUUUUUUUUUCUUUAAAAUAUACUGAGUGGGGAAACUCUACUACAUUUGCACAUUCUGUAAUCUUUUACUAGCUCCCCAGCAGGACCAAAAUUCAUAUAAAAUGAAGCUUAAAUUAACUUUAAUGUAUUCAAUUCUUUCUCACAACCUUAAACAUAAUAACAUGUAGAAAGUAAGUAGAAAUACUUGUGUGAAAACAUACAAAUCCUUGCAUUUUAACAUGCUUUUGAGAAGCAUGUACAUAUAUUAAAACUGCUUUCUUUUGAUAUUUCUUUACCAAAUUGUAUUCAAAAUGCAGCAAAUCUGAUCAACGCAAUACUUUACAAAGAAUUUAGAGGACCAAGAUUUCUAGCUAAAGAUACUGCCUUGUUGAGUUCCCUGAUCUGUAAUUUUGACUGCGUAGUGUUAAUUAUUGUCUUUCUGAUACUGUGAUCAUACUUGUUUCUUGAUUCAUAAUAUAUAGCAAGAAAGAUUGUAAUAAAAUUCUCUUUACUCAAUACUACUGUGCAUAACUAUGGUUAGAUUUUCUUUUUGUUGUAAGGUACGUCAAACUUAAACAAAACCAGAUUAGUUUUAUAGUGCUGUUAAAUCAUGUGGCCUUUAUUUUAUUUUAUUUUCAUUACUUGAUAUGAACAUGUGGAUGAUAAUUGAGGAUCAUAAUGUGAAUGGUGGCUGAGGAUCAUUAUCAGCAUGUGAAAUGUCUAAAGAGAAUCAACAGUCAAAUGAAUAUGAGUUCAAACGAAGGGGCCAAUCUACCCUGAAGAAUGAGCAUUUUCAUUCUAAAGUGGGAUGGUUAUCUGUAGCCUUUAAUUAAGUUGUAUGGAGAAGAACUAUACAAAGCUUUGGAUGUUUUAUUUGGAAUAUUCAUGAACACAAAGAUUGCACUUGUUUGCAGUGCAUUAAAUCAGCCAUUUUGUUUCCCAAGACUAAGCAGCUGUUUUAAAGUAUUGCAUGGAGGACCAAAAGUACCUUUUGGAGAUCAAUUCCAAAAGACUACAUAGCCCUUGUAAUGAGGUUUUUAUCUAUAUAAAGUGUGGAUAACAUGGAUGAUGAGCAUUUCAUUACAUAUUCUGCACAUCUAUCUAGUUCGAUAUGUUUACAGAGUAAGGUAGGGAUAUUCAAAGUGACUGAAUCUACAACUGAACUUUAGAAAUUGCCAGAUGUGUAACAAUGAAUUUAAUCUUUUCCCCUGCUUCUGAUCAUUGUUGAUUUGGUAGCUCUAAUCCCAGCAAUAGCCCAUGGCCUUUAGAUUAAGGCUAAGGGAUAGGGGGUUGAUCAAUGCUUGCUACUACAUUAAAUUACCUUUGCACUCUCACAUUCAGUACGAAGAUAGUUAGGAAAAAGUAUACAGAAACUGACUAUAUUAUUGAUCAGUUAUUCUGAUCUGUGAGCUGCUUACACAAAAAUCUGCAUUUACAAGAACUGGAAACUUCUAAUGGGAAAAGAAUACUAGAGCCAGCAAUAUCAACUAAUUAAUAGACCUUUCUCAUUCCAUUUUUUCCCAAGAGUCUCCUGCUUUUAAACUUGAAAUGUUGUGGACCAUGUCUUUGUGAUGUAAACUGUGGCCUAAUAUUUCUCCUUUCCAAAUGGAUCAUAGUUAGAAAUCAUCCUGUACAAACUUAAAUCAUAUUAAUCACAAGGUAACAUGACUUGGAGUGCUAAUUGAACACAGCUGCAAUUUGAGAACCUUAUUGAUCUAUUUCAUUCAAAUGUAAAACACUGUGUUAGGUAUUGAGUAGUUAAUAGAUCACCUGCAUGGGAAAUGGCAUCAGAAUUCCAGCUUAAUUAGAAUACGGAACUUCCUCUUUUAGGGAUGCUACACAUGCAAAUGCAUUUGUGCUUUCUCAGAUUUUUAAGAAGUGUGAAAUUUAGUCCUUAAAAUAAAGCCUAAAAGAAUGGAAGUGGCAUUUAUGGUAAAAUUGGCAAAAUAUAAAAAGCACAUAUAAUAGCAAAGAAACACAUUACCCUCUUGCUUCCAUUUGGAUCAAAGUGAGGCUAUGGAGAAGGGUGUGAUAUUUUAGCCAAAUGCAUAUGCUAUUUUCCAAAAUUCUAGCCAUAGGUCUGGAUGAUGCCAUCCAAAAACAAUUGAUACCUGUGCAACUGGUACUGGUACUCCAAGUUUGCCUGCCUUUUUGAGCAGAAAUGGAUUCUUGAACUUAAGACUUGUAUUAAAAUUCAUGGUUUGGGUGCAUUUAAAGAACACAAAAUAGAGGAAGCACAUAAAAGAUACUGCUAAAUUGUGCCAUAUGUUAAUAAGUGGAAAUUAUGUGUAUCUUUGACAUAUUGCCUUUCAUUGCAUUGCUAAUUAGAAUAAUAGUUGUGUCUAGAAGAAUGUGGCAUGUGUACUCUGUGUGUGUCUUGAAGUUCUAUGUUCAUGAAAUUAACGUAGAAAUUGAAGGCUUAGCAGUGCAGGCCUUCAGCAAGGGAAAUAAAAUUAUAUAUUUUUAUAGACAGUUGUACAAUUUUAGGUCUCAGCUACAGUACAUCAUAUCAGCUUCUUCCAAGAAUGUAAAGCUGCAAGAUUGGAUAGAAGAGGGUGGCUGUGGAAAUGACAAAGAGUUCGAUCAACCCCAACAGCCCUAGAUGGAUUUAAUUAAAGAUGCCUUUGAAAUAUAUUUUUAGCUCUAAAAUAUUAAACAGAGAAUAUUUGCGAGCAAACUUUCUAUGUCUAUGACAUUUGUGUAGUGCUUUGUAUUGAAGAAAUCAAAUGGUUCUAUGUUUAUACUUCUUAAUUGUUCUUGAGUUGUAGGGACAAUAAGUAGACAAAUACUUUUUAUUCCGGAAAAAAAGAAUCUAUGUGAUGUGCAGUUGUGUAUAACUGUUAGUGGCCACUGUCCCUAUGAAGAAUGUUGUUUGUAUAUUUUCUGGUCUGGCACAUGUGACUUUUAUCCAUUUUGUAGUAAAGUUUACAUGCUAAAAUAUGUAAUAAGUAGAAAGAUAAUAAAGUCAAUGAACAAUCUAAGUGAAGACCAAGAUU